rnacentral:rRNA from 1 species
GGUUAAGCGACUAAGCGUACACGGUGGAUGCCCUGGCAGUCAGAGGCGAUGAAGGACGUGCUAAUCUGCGAUAAGCGUCGGUAAGGUGAUAUGAACCGUUAUAACCGGCGAUCUCCGAAUGGGGAAACCCAGUGUGUUUCGACACACUAUCAUUAACUGAAUCCAUAGGUUAAUGAGGCGAACCGGGGGAACUGAAACAUCUAAGUACCCCGAGGAAAAGAAAUCAACCGAGAUUCCCCCAGUAGCGGCGAGCGAACGGGGAGGAGCCCAGAGCCUGAAUCAGUGUGUGUGUUAGUGGAAGCGUCUGGAAA